CAGAACCAGUUUUUAUUUGGCUAUGUGGCUUCUGUGUAUGUAAAACCAUCCCCAAAACCCAAGAGUGAGCCAGUGAGGCGCAAACACAGCAGCAGGCACUGAAGAAGCUUCACGCAUUGCUCUCUCGUAGCAGAAUGGGAGUCAUUGCCCCUUAACUUUCUCCUCGCCAUUAACGUUACGUCGAAGCUUUUAUUUUGGCUUCACAGAAACCUCAGCUUUCGCCUGAUUUUGUAACCACCAGGAUCAACUUUUGGUGGUUUUGUGAAAUGGGCAUCAACUUUCUGAUAUGUUUGAAGCAAUGGUUUGUCGGUGAUGUCUUGGUAUUUGAACAGUUGGACUUGUGUGGCUGCAUGCGUUAUUGGCUAUUUGCUGGUUUUAGCUAACUGGGUCUGGGUGCGCUUAUAAUCUGUUUGUUCUCCAACUUUCAUACAUGGGCGUGUCUGCUUUUGAACAAUUUAAGUGCUUUUUUAACAGGAGAGUGCUUAUUGUGCCUAUUUGCCCUCGUCUCUUAGUAGCUCAGGGUUUACUGAUUUAGAGUCGACUGGUGAUAUUUUGAAGUUAGUUCUUGUUGUUCAUAGUAUGAAAAAAAUGGUCAAUAGUGGUACUGCUAGCAACCAAGGGGAAUCCUUAGGAAAAGGAAGUAAGAACAAGAGAAAAUUAGCUGACCCUUCUCUGGAGAAUACAACUGACCACGGUUCUCCCCUAACUGUAUUCCCGCAGAGCGAAUUAUCUCCAGAAAUGUGUCCAAAAUUGAGUGACAAUGUGUCAGUGGAUGCUGGGUUGGUUCAGCCCAAAGAAGAAGUGGAAGUGGGAGCCUUUGAAUGUACAGA